GCGCCCAUAGCUCAACUGGAUUAGAGCGUUUGACUACGGAUCAAGAGGUUGGGGGUUCAAGUCCUCCUGGGCGCACCA
rnacentral:tRNA from 1 species